rnacentral:rRNA from 1 species
GGUAAGUGUGGGGCAUGGGGAGUGGUGAUACUGGUGGGGCGUGGGUUAAUCGGAGUUACUUGGCGUAAAGCGGGCGUAGUGGUGUAAUUAAGUCAAAUGUGAAAUCCCCGAGCUUAACUUUGGAAUUGCAGUCGGUACUGGUUAGCUAGAGUAUGUGAGAGGAUGGUAGAAUUCCAGGUGUAGCGGUGAAAUGCGUAGAGAUCUGGAGGAAUACCGAUGGCGAAGGCAGCCAUCUGGCCUAAUACUGACACUGAGGUGCGAAAGCAUGGGGAGCAAACAGGAUUAGAUACCCGAGUAGUC